rnacentral:rRNA from 1 species
GACGAACGCUGGCGGCGUGCUUAACACAUGCAAGUCGAACGGAAAGGCCCUGCUUUUGUGGGGUGCUCUAGUGGCGAACGGGUGAGUAACACGUGAGUACGCUGCACCUGCCUGUGGGGUAACUUCAGGCCACUGGGUCUCAUACCGGCUAGGAGCUCCUGCUGCAUGGUGGGGGUUGGUAGGUUUCGCCGGUUGGUGAUGGACUCGCGGCCUAUCAGGUUGUUCGUGGGGUAGUGGCUGACCAAGGCUUGGACGGGUGGCCGUCCUGCGAGGGUCACCGGCCACAUUGGGCUUGAGAUGCGGCCCAGACUCCUACGGGAGGCAGCAGUGGAGAAGAGUGCAUUAUGGGCGGAAGCAUAAUGUAGCAAAGCCGCGUGCGGGAUGACGGCAAUGGGUUAGUAUUCUAAUUUCCUCUGUGCCGAAGUGUGAGUGACGGUAACGGGUAAAGAAGCACCGGCUAACUCCGUG